GACGAACGCUGGCGGCGUGCUUAACACAUGCAAGUCGAACGGUAAGGCCCUUCGGGGUACACGAGUGGCGAACGGGUGAGUAACACGUGGGUGAUCUGCCCUGCACUUCGGGAUAAGCCUGGGAAACUGGGUCUAAUACCGGAUAGGACCACUGCCUGCAUGGGUGGUGGGGGAAAGCUUUUGCGGUGUGGGAUGGGCCCGCGGCCGAUCAGCUUGUUGGUGGGGUGAUGGCCUACCAAGGCGACGACGGGUAGCCGGCCUGAGAGGGUGACCGGCCACACUGGGACUGAGAUACGGCCCAGACUCCUACGGGAGGCAGCAGUGGGGAAUAUUGCACAAUGGGCGCAAGCCUGAUGCGGCGACGCCGCGUGAGGGGUGACGGCCUUCGGGUUGUAAACCUCUUUCAGCACCGACGAAGCGCAAGUGACGGUAGGUGCAGAAGAAGGACCGGCCAACUACGUGCCAGCAGCCGCGGUAA
rnacentral:rRNA from 1 species